GAUGAACGCUGGCGGCGUGCCUAAUACAUGCAAGUCGAGCGAACGGACGAGAAGCUUGCUUCUCUGAUGUUAGCGGCGGACGGGUGAGUAACACGUGGAUAACCUACCUAUAAGACUGGGAUAACUUCGGGAAACCGGAGCUAAUACCGGAUAAUAUUUUGAACCGCAUGGUUCAAAAGUAAAAGACGGUCUUGCUGUCACUUAUAGAUGGAUCCGCGCUGCAUUAGCUAGUUGGUAAGGUAACGGCUUACCAAGGCAACGAUGCAUAGCCGACCUGAGAGAGUGACGGCCCACACGGAAACUGAAACAGGGCCAACACCCCAAGGGGAGGAGCGGGUGGGAACUCUUCGGAAAGGGGGAAAAGCCGGAGGGAGAACCCCGGGGGGGGGAAUAAGGGUUUCGGGACCUAAAACCUGUGUUAUAAGGAAAAAACAUUUGUGAAAGAAACUGGACACACCUGGAGGGUCCUUAACAAAAAGCCCAGGGCAAACUCGGGC
rnacentral:rRNA from 1 species